UCGAUUUUCUUUUUGACGAAGUAAUAGGAUCAACUUAAUUAUUGUAUAAUCGAUUUUUUUACCACACCGAUAAUUAGUGCUUGUUGGGUUAGACACACGCUACCUUAAAACUAAAUGUGAACAUCUCAACUACUUGAGUAGAUUAACAAACUGAUGAUUAUUCAAUUCUACCUUACCUCCUAUACUCUAAACUUCACCGAAUUCUUGUAAUUAAUCAUAAUGCUAAGUAAUUUUGAAGUAAUAUGUUAUGGUUAAUUAUAAUGUUCAAGAUUAAGUUGAAUUAUUAAAAUUGAAAGAAAAAAAAAAUGCUAGUAGUGUGAAGCAGUGAGUGACAUGAUGACAUGUAGGGUGUAUACACAACCGAUGUUCAACUUGAUAAAUGACAUGAUAUUGAAAAAAGAGUAAAGUCACAAACCUUAUCUACUUAUCCUCUUUUGUUUUUUCACAAUAAGCUCCUUACAGCUGCCAGUUUUGAAGGCUUACGCUCCCGCAGGGUCAUAUGAAUCAUGAAUGGGGUCCCUUCCCUUUGUUCCUGUGAUUAUGUGUUAACUUUAUGUACACUUUUUUACAUAGAAAUUGGGUGUUGGUCGGAUUCAAAAUCAAUUACGGAAUAUGUCGAUAUGGCUCUUG
rnacentral:lncRNA from 1 species